UAGGGAAUCUUCGGCAAUGGACGAAAGUCUGACCGAGCAACGCCGCGUGAGUGAAGAAGGUUUUCGGAUCGUAAAACUCUGUUGUUAGAGAAGAACAAGGACGUUAGUAACUGAACGUCCCCUGACGGUAUCUAACCAGAAAGCCACGGCUAACUACGUGCCAGCAGCCGCGGUAAUACGUAGGUGGCAAGCGUUGUCCGGAUUUAUUGGGCGUAAAGCGAGCGCAGGCGGUUUCUUAAGUCGGAUGUGAAAGCCCCCGGCUCAACCGGGGAGGGUCAUUGGAAACUGGGAGACUUAAGUGCAGAGGAGGAGGGUGGAAUUCCAUGUGUGGCGGUGAAAGGCGUAGUUAUAUGGAGGAACACCAGUGGCGAAGGCGGCUCUCUGGUCUGUAACUGACGCUGGGGCUCGAAAGCGUGGGGAGCAAACAGG
rnacentral:rRNA from 1 species